rnacentral:tRNA from 1 species
AUCUGAUUGGCUCAGUUGGUGGAGUGUGUGACUUUUGAUCUCGGGAUUGUGGGUUUGAGCCCCAUGUUGGGUG